rnacentral:rRNA from 1 species
UACGAAGGGGGCUAGCGUUGUUCGGAUUUACUGGGCGUAAAGCGCACGUAGGCGGAUCGUUAAGUCGGGGGUGAAAUCCUGGAGCUCAACUCCAGAACUGCCUUCGAUACUGGCGAUCUUGAGUCCGGAAGAGGUGAGUGGAACUCCUAGUGUAGAGGUGGAAUUCGUAGAUAUUAGGAAGAACACCAGUGGCGAAGGCGGCUCACUGGGCAUUAUCUGACGCUGAGGCGCGAAAGCGUGGGUAGCAAACAGG